AGAACAGCAUGUGCUUGUAAGCAUUGAGCCAUCGCUCCAGCCUCUAUUGAGAACAUCACAGGAAAGACACACCAUUGUGCAGUCCCAAGGAGAACUACUAGUCUUAUGAGCUUCAGGGAGUAGCGCUAUUAGGAGGUGUGACCUUGUUGGAAGAAGUGUGUCGCCGUGGGGGUGGGCUUCGAGAGACCUUCCUCUUAGCUGCCUGGAAGCCAGUCUUCUCCUGUCUGCUUUUUGGAACAAGAUGUAGAACUCUCAGCUCCUCCAGCUCCAAGCCCGCCUGGAUGCUGUCAUGCUCCCUGCCAUGAUGAUAAUGGACUGAACCUCAGAACCAGUGGCCUGUGGACUGGAAAGCAACAGGUCUGAUGAAGACCCCACGGGUGUCUGAUCCUCCACCAUCGCUUUUGAAGCUUCCCUUGUGCCUAUACUGAGUGGCCUCUUCUUCCCAUCAAUGUACCAGCUAACAAGCAUCUUCAACAGAAUAUCUCCCACUACUGCAGUCCUAGGGUCUGUCCUUUGGGAAAUCUCACUGGGCUUGGGUUGUUGAGGCUGGACCAGUCCUUAAGUGAGAGAAAAUAUGGAACAGAAAUGCUCUCCUCUUCACUGAGAAAAACAGAGCCUAAAGGAUUCAGACAAGCAUCCACUAUGGCGCUACAUUUCCAGCCUUUGAGAUAUCUCCCUUGCAAAGCCAGGUUGGACAGUUCCUGGAGGAUGGCUAUGAUAUCUGCAUAAGAGUCAUAGACACGGAGUCAACCAGUUCCCGUCUACACGCUGUGGAUAUAGCUCAAUGAUAGGACAUUAGGGUAGCAUGCAGUGAGGCUCUGUAUUCCAUCUCAGCCCUACAACAACGAAACAAACCAAAUAAACUCUCUAGUAUAUACGGAGA
ensembl:lncRNA